AUCAAACUUUUCUUUUCCUCUCUUCUCCAGUCCAGCAGCGACAACCACCAUUCACCGCCUCUAUCAUCGAUUCAUGAAGAACAACCCUACCAUCACAAGAACAACAGAUAAUAUGAAAUUGGAUCUGUUAUUAUAUGAAGAGAGAAAGAAGGUAUGGUUAUGUUGAUGGGAGUAAAAGAUAAAGAGUUUCCAGAGAUAGUAUGAUAUGGUGGAUCUGUUAAGGGGAAUCGUGAUCAAUUAACUAGUUCUGAUUUUUUGAGGAUGGAAGCUUGAAGGUUGCAAUGGAAUUAGGGCACUUAAUUUGACUUAUUCAGUGUUUUUCUUUCCAAAGUUUGUUGGAUAAAACUUUGUUUCUCCAUUUUAAUGGUUCAUUUGUUGAAUGUGUUUGGAAACCACUUGAAUGUAAUGUAAGAAAACUACUUCAUUUUAAUGGUUCUACUGUUUGUACU